UAAAAACAAGUGUGCCAUAUGAAUAAAAUCUUUGCCUUUUAAUGUAUGAGAUAUUGAUCAUAAACAUUUUACAUUUGAACUGGUCAAUUUUUUCAGUUUUGUAUUUAAUUAAAGAAUUGAUUGAUUUUUUUUUCAUUUUUAAUUUAUGAUGUAUUUUCAAUUAUGUCCUGGCGGAAAAAAAAAUUAUUUACCUAACUACCUACCCAACUUCAAAAUUUAGAGUCAGGUUAGGGGAAACAAAGAUAUUUUUAAUGAUGGCCUUACAGCAAAUGUAAUAGGUUUCUGAUUGUCAACGAUUUAAUCAGUGGCUGUGUUAAUGAUCACACUAGAUACAAUUUUACCUCUGAUAAUUUAAAAUUCUAGAGCAAACCAAACUUUUCUUAUAUAGCCAUGCAUUAACCUAUUUUACAUGCCAGUUACAAAUGAUGGUUAAAUUAUUCUUUUUACCCUUAUUUUUUAGGAAUAGAAGAGGUUGAUAAGUGAAUGAAAAUAUUUGUCAACCUGAUGAUAAACUUGACUCUAACAAAUUUAACUGACAAUUUUAUUUAAUAUAAAAUUUUAUCACAAUUUCCUUCAAACGCUGUCCAUGUUUGCAUUACGAUCAUAAUUUUGAUUUCUUUCCAAAGAGAAUUGUUAACAAAUGUCUUACAGUGUAUCAAAAAGAUAAUAAAUGUAUUUUAAUAUU
rnacentral:misc_RNA from 1 species